UGGCGCUCCUUGAACAUUGCGGUGAAAGAGAAGAAACUAAUAUCGCACUACUGAUUUUCAUAUAAAUACUUAAGUCGUGUACGUUUUAUUUCCGUGAAGUAGAUUGAUUACUUGAUUGUUUGUAUGCGUAAACUAAUGCUCAGAUUAUCUAAUUUAUUCCAAACACAAGGAAAUGCAUUUUACGAUCACACUGAGAAGCUAUAGUAACUCAUUUAGAUAUUUUAAUGAGUUUUGGACGGAUAAUUCUAUAGUAAAAAUAAAGAAAAUAUCACUGCAAUAAUGCGCAAAACAAAAUAUAGCAAAAAUAAAAAUACAAAAAUCGCGACUGAAAACUCAUUUAUAGUUUCUUAUUUUCCUCAAUCUUUUUUAUUAUCUUGGGACAAGAUACCCGUCGUGCAAAAAUCAAUAAAAACAUCAUUACAAUUGCGUACACAGCGAUGAUGAAAUCGGGUGUUUAUAUCGUUAAAAUAAAAACCAAAAAAUCACGAAGUAAAACAGAGAUUGUUCAUUCGCGUGUCGCGAUUUAAACAACGAGUGAACUUGAAUCAAUUGCAUGUAAUACAGUCCUUAGAUUCAAUGUUUGUUCGCAAAGAUUUUUAUUUUUUUAACAGUCGCAUAAACUAUAUUUAUAAAAAACAAUAGAGUUUGGCGAAGUAAAUUCAAUGAUCGUUCAUUAGUAAUUAAAUACUGUAUAUUAGAGUCAUUGAAGAGAAUCUCAAUCAAUUUGAUGUCGACCUACUUCAUUUUCAAUCAUCUAUGAAUCAACCUCCCUCCAUUUCGACUUAAAUCACGGACGAGUGUUAUUGAGCCAUCGCAGAAUUUCUUAAAUAGUAAAUUAUGUCGAGGCUGAAAAUUUCUAAUCGUCCGACGCAGUUAAUUGGUUGUAAUUAAGUAAUUAAUUAGUAGAAAAGCAUUGAAUGAUUACGAGUUUUUUUCGGAAAUUUACUCCUAAAUGAUUUCGUGAAUUAUAUUUUUUGAUUUAUUGA